rnacentral:rRNA from 1 species
AGAGUUUGAUCCUGGCUCAGGAUGAACGCUGGCGGCGUGCUACCAUGCAGUCGACGGUGAUGGCCAGCUUGCUGGUCUGAUCAGUGGCGAACGGGUGAGUAACACGUGAGUAACCUGCCCCAGACUCUGGGAUAAGCCUUGGAAACGAGGUCUAAUACUGGAUAUGAGAUGCCCCUGCAUGGGGAGUGUCUGGAAAGAUUUAUCGGUCUGGGAUGGACUCGCGGCCUAUCAGCUUGUUGGUGGGGUAAUGGCCUACCAAGGCGACGACGGGUAGCCGGCCUGAGAGGGCGACCGGCCACACUGGGACUGAGACACGGCCCAGACUCCUACGGGAGGCAGCAGUGGGGAAUAUUGCACAAUGGGCGCAAGCCUGAUGCAGCGACGCCGCGUGAGGGAUGAAGGCCUUCGGGUUGUAAACCUCUUUCAGCAGGGAAGAAGCGCAAGUGACGGUACCUGCAGAAGAAGCGCCGGCUAACUACGUGCCAGCAGCCGCGGUAAUACGUAGGGCGCAAGCGUUGUCCGGAAUUAUUGGGCGUAAAGAGCUCGUAGGCGGUUUGUCGCGUCUGGUGUGAAAACUCAAGGCUCAACCUUGAGCUUGCAUCGGGUACGGGCAGACUAGAGUGCGGUAGGGGUGACUGGAAUUCCUGGUGUAGCGGUGGAAUGCGCAGAUAUCAGGAGGAACACCGAUGGCGAAGGCAGGUCACUGGGCCGCAACUGACGCUGAGGAGCGAAAGCAUGGGGAGCGAACAGGAUUAGAUACCCUGGUAGUCCAUGCCGUAAACGUUGGGCACUAGGUGUGGGGCUCAUUCCACGAGUUCCGUGCCGCAGCAAACGCAUUAAGUGCCCCGCCUGGGGAGUACGGCCGCAAGGCUAAAACUCAAAGGAAUUGACGG